UUAGCUCUUCAAGUUUGCUGGAUCCAGAUAAGCAUGCAGUGUUUUGUGAUAAAUGCCUUCCCAAAGCUUUCCUGCCUAGAACCGCCAGAUGAAUAAGAAAAUACUUAGUGCCUUUCAACUUCCGGUCACAGAACUACUUUAUCAAAGCCCAAAUACUUAUGGAAUGUUUAAUAUUGACGUGCCAGAACUAUGCACAAGAAUUGUCAAUGGAGACUUUAUAUCUCUCCCAAGUAAACACUGCUCAUGUUCACCAGUGGCGCAAUAAUCCCCAAGCACAUUACACAAGAUUAAUUAGCUCCAAUGUAAGGUUGCUAAAUGAGCCAAUAUACUAUAUGGGAGCAAAAGACACCAAGACAAAACAGCAUCAUUGGUGGCCAGCCGAGGAGUCCCACAUGUAUCAUUAUACUCCACCGAAUUACAGAGCACCCAAAGAACUGAUCUAGUCUGCCUUGGUUUUGCCAGCUGGGUUCAGUCAGCAACAGCCUUCAUGUGGAAGAGUUCUACUUGCAAAUCCUAGAGCGCCCAAAGGUCUUUCAGAGAUUUUACAGGAACAGACCUCCUUUAGUCAUCAGUACAAUGCCAGAGACUGCUAAUGAACCCAUCCAAAGAAAGACCUAUUGCCUAGUGAAUUACUCUGAAGAGGAGACUCAGGCUGCAGGAUUACU